rnacentral:lncRNA from 1 species
AAUUGUCCACAUGUUUAAGUUUUGAUGGACGUGUUGUCGAUGGUAUUUGAAUGAUAUAAAUAUGGCCUAUCUAACAAUUUAAGCUAUUAGAUCAAAUGGUUCAACAAUAAUGAUUGCUGCUGUUAUUUUCCAAUUAGAUUCAGCACCUUUCAUAAAGAGAAGUUUUCUAACCUCUUUCAAAAUUCCAAAAUGUGAAAGAAGAAUUGUUUUAUAAGUUCAAAAUCAACAAAGAAUUUAAAGUUUUCUGAACAUGCAAGUGAGGGUCUUCAAUUACAAGAGAAGUUCACAGGGAGAGGUGGUCCAUAAUUUGAUCAAGAACAAACCAUUUUUGAUAUGUGCCACUCCUCUUGCUAGUGAGCACUCAUGUACCAUUAAAGAUUAAGAAGCAAAAUGGAUCAAAAGAAAGAGGAGGUAACAAAGUUAAAAUCAUGAAGUUGGUAAGAAGCAAAAGGGAAGAAAUUACUGCCUGAAGUUGGCCUUGGGCCUUCUUUGAAUCUGAAUUAUAUAAUCCUUUUUUCAUUUAGGGAAUAGAAUCCUUUCUUGAAAGUCAUUUUGAGUUCCCCAAAAGGAUUUCUCCAGUUGUCAAUUACUAUAACUUGCACAAACAGCAAACAGGCAUUCUCUUUGUUGGCCACUGUAUACAUCUACAGGGUACUUGAUCCCCUGAAGUUGGCAUUUGGUAUGCAAGAGCAUAUGCACAGUAUAGGAAUGGACUUGUGAAAUGAAUGUAGAUGGGAAUGAAAUGCAAUAGACAUGGGAUAUCUCAUGUUUGGUUUGUCUAGGAAUAAGAACAGCAAUGGGAUCAGGUUCCACAAUUUUGAUUUCUUAUAUUUGGUCUGUUAUGAAGUAUGGUAAUGAAAUACAGAUGGUGAAAUGGCUAUGCAUACCUUACUGAAAUUUUAUUUUAAGCAUUAAUUCAUGUAAUUGGGAAAAUAAUGUCACAUGUCAGAAUUUGAGAACACUUUGCAUUCCAGAUUAUCUAGAUGCUUACGCUGGAUGGAAUGCCAUGAGCCUACUCGAUAUCUUCCUUGCCUGCUUCACUAGAGGGGGAAAAAAUAGGGAGAUGAAGAUAAAUAUUUUUGAAUCUUUCUUCUGUCAAUGGUUGAACCUUCUUGCCCCUGCUUCUACAAGAAGAAGAAGAGAAGCCUAAUCAGACACUAAACUAGAGUUACCUUACUGAAGACUCAAAAGAAAAUUUUGAAGAUGCGGUGUUGAAAUUUGUUAAAAACGGGGGUUCCAUUUUUGUGAAAGAGACCAUAAUUAUAAACCCCACCAAAAUGAGAGCAGUAUCUACGAUAUAGGAUGAAGUGAAUAUAAAUAUUAUUUCAUUCAUUUGAUUGAUGAAAGUGAAUAUAAAUAUUAUUUCAUUCAUUUGAUUGAUGUAUUUCAUCAUCAGUUCUUCUCCUUUUCGGUAUCUUUGUAACAGCUCAUGUUAUUUGUUGUUUAGGACUGUGGAGAAGUAACAACCAAUGACGUUGU